CGUGUAGGCGGCUGGAUAAGUCAGAUGUGAAAGCCCUGGGCUUAACCCAGGAAGUGCAUUUGAAACUGUUCAGCUUGAGUAGGGGGAGAGGAAAGUGGAAUUCCUGGUGUAGAGGUGAAAAUUCGUAGAUAUCAGGAGGAACACCGGUGGCGAAGGCGACUUUCUGGCCCUAUACUGACGCUGAGACGCGAGAGCGUGGGUAGCAAACAG
rnacentral:rRNA from 1 species